rnacentral:lncRNA from 1 species
GCUCAUAUAAGGUAAAAGGCAGAUCGGCCUCCGCGGCCAGGGAACUGCGGGCAAGGGGCUGAGGGGAGGGGGAUCCAGUGCCAGUCGCUUAAAAAUGCCCCUGUGGUAGUAAGGGGUGCCAGAGGCCGGGUCAAGUUAGUUGAGAAGCAGUGACACCCCCCACCAGUCCCCAAACAGGCUGACCCCAUCUCUAGGCCCCAAGGAGCCACACCUGGACCAGACUGCGGGACAGGCAAGGGCCCUGGCUGGUGGAAGCCACCUACCACCCUGGCACUGGAUAACCAACAACCCUGGAGAGGGAGCCUCCUAGAGACCAGAAGAGGGAGGCGGCAGGCAGCCCUGGCAGCAGAACUCCUCCCCUUCACCCACCCUUCCCCAGAGCCUUCCAACAGCCUGCCGACCAAGUUUCCCCCAACCCAGAGACGUUUCCAGGAGACAUCCAGAAAGGGAGGGGAAAACAGUGCGUUCUCCUGGGAGCAGACCCCCAAGUCACCCACAGCCAGCACUGAAAGCCACCAGGUAAAACUCUUGACACCGCCUGGCUCAGUCACCUCCUUUAACAGAAGGGGAAAGAGCGCCACAGAGAGGAGAGGGGCCUGGCGUGAAGUCACUUGCCAACUGGCGACAGAACCGAGACUCCCAAAUGGCUUCCCCCAUCUCCCCUGGGAUCCAGUGUGAAGGAGCCUUUCAUGGGGCGUGGGCCAACUCAGCACAAUCCAGAAGGACGAGCCUGGGCACCAGCAGAG